GAUGAACGCUAGCGGCAGGCCUAAUACAUGCAAGUCGAGGGGCGGCGCAGUGUAGCAAUACAUGGGCGGCGACCGGCAAACGGGUGCGGAACACGUACACAACCUUCCUUUUAGUGGAGCAUAGCCCAGGGAAACUUGGAUUAAUACUCCGUAACAUAACGAGAUGGCAUCUUCUUGUUAUUAUAGAAGCAAUUCGCUAGAAGACGGGUGUGCGGCUGAUUAGAUAGUUGGCGGGGUAACGGCCCACCAAGGUCCACGAUCAGUAACUGGUGUGAGAGCACGACCAGUCACACGGGCACUGAGACACGGGCCCCGACUCCUACGGGAGGCAGCAGUAAGGAAUNUUGGUCAAUGGACGCAAGUCUGAACCAGCCAUGCCGCGUGGAGGAUGAAGGCCCUCUGGGUUGUAAACUUCUUUU
rnacentral:rRNA from 1 species